GACGAACGCUGGCGGCGUGCUUAACACAUGCAAGUCGAACGAAGUGGCGCACGGGUGAGUAAUACGUGGGUAACCUGCCCUCCUUUUUGGGAUAAGCCUUGGAAACGGGGUCUAAUACCGAAUAACGGGGGAUGGCCUCGCGGCUUAUCAGCUUGUUGGUGGGGGAUGGCCUACCAAGGCGGUGACGGGUCGCCGGCCUGAGUGGGUGGCCGGCCACAUGGGGACUGUGAUACGGGCCAGACUUCUACGGGAGGCAGCAAGGGGGGAUAUUGCACAAUGGGCGAAAGCCUGAUGCAUCAACGCCGCGGGAGUGAUGACGGCCUUCGGGUUGUAAAGCUCUGUUAAUCGGGACACGGUACCGGAAUAGAAAGCCACGGCUAACUACGUGCCAGCAGCCGCGGUAAUUC
rnacentral:rRNA from 1 species